AUACAUUUUUCAAGCUUUGUAAUAAAAAAAUCUAAUCACGCUUAUCAAGAUUCUUUCUAUAUCGUCGACUCUUCUUUGUAGUCACACUUCAAAUUACAUUGUAGUCUCUUAUUAAUAAUUUUUGUAGCCACACUUCAAAUUUUUUAUAAUGAAAAUUAGUGUUGCUAGUCGUUGCUUUUGAUCGUUGAACCAGAAAGUAAGAUCCUCUUUCUUUAACCCCUCUUAAUCUAAAACCAUUGCUUUCUAACGCAAGACUCUUUUACUCGGAUAAUUUGUAGUUGACUAUGAUGGAAGCAAACGGUCUGGAAAAACCAAAGGUGGACGCAACAAAACUCGGGAUGGCUCUGCAAAUAGCAUCAAGACAGAUGGAACAAGACUGAGAAUAGCUCUGCAGAAGAUGACGAAGAUGAAUUCAAGCAGGUCAGAAGUCGUAGGAAUAAGAAAAAUGUGAAACCCCUAAGGUUCAAGCACAUUGAUGAUACUCUCUACUACAAACACCAACACAAGAACACUUAUAAUUUGGAGAUUUCUUAGAAUGCAAAUUGAGAUUAAUUUUCGACAUUACAGAUUCAAAAAUCUUUACUUUUUUAGGUUGCCGUCGCUAAUUUCAGUCGCCAGCAAAAAACAAACGAAUAUGAUUUAAUUAUUAAAGAAGUAAAAAAAGAUAUUUGAUUGAAAAGUAAAUAAACAAUGAAUAUCUUACAAGAUAACAAAAGCUACAAAACAAAUAAUCUUA
rnacentral:sRNA from 1 species